GUCGAGUGGGUUUAGACCCACGGCAGACGAGGUAGUAACACGUGGGUACCUACCCUCAAGUCAGGGAUAUACCGUCGAAAGACGGAGCAAUACUUGAUAGUCUCUACGGAGUAAAGAUUUAUCGCUUGAGGAGGGGCCUGCGCAAUAUCAGCUAGUUGGUGAGGUAAUGGCUCACCAAGGCUAUGACGUUUAGGGGAGCUGAGAGGCUGACCCCCACCGAGGGAACUGAGACACGGUCCCUACUUCUACGGAGGGCAGCAGCCGAGAAUAUUCGACAAUGGACGAAAGUCUGAUCGAGUGACGCCGCGUGGUGGAUGAAGUCCUUCGGGACGUAAACACCUUUUAUUGGGGAUGAAGUUUUGACAGUACCCAAGGAAUAAGGGGCUCCUAACUCUGUGCCAGCA
rnacentral:rRNA from 1 species